AGUGUUUCAAGACAUUUUAUAGGUUUUAAAGAACUGAAAAUAGUUUGACUUAAAUUUUGGAAUAUGGCCUGUUGUUUGAUAGCAGCUUCCCAAUUCUUGCAUCCAUUGGACUUUUGGGAGAAGUUCUGUUUUGAAUUUCUUUGCGGGAUGUUACGAAAGCCUCCCGGAGCUGCUGUUUGGAUGUGAACUGCCUCCCAACCUCAUACAAACCCCAAUUCCAAUGAAGUUGUGUAAAACAUAUAUAAAACAGAAUGCAAUGAUUUACAAAUCAUUUUCAAACUAUAUUCAAUUAACUACACCACAAAGACAAAAUAUUUAAUGUUCAAACUGAUAUUGUUUUUUUGCAAAUAUUCACUUGUUUUGAAUUUGAUGCCUGCAACACCUUCCAAAAAAGCAUGUUUCACCUUUCCUUUUAACAACACUCAGUAAGUGUUUGGGAACUGAGGACGCAAAUUGUUGAAGCUUUGCGGCUGGAUCAUUUCCCAAUUUUUGCUUGAUGUACAACUUAAGUUGCUCAACGGGUCUCUGUUGUCGUAUUUUGCACUUCAUAAUGUGCCACACAUUUUCAAUGGCAGAGAGGCCUCGACUGUUGGCGGGCCAGUCUCCAAAGCCACAAUUUUGUAACACGGGAAGAAUGUGGCUUGGUAUUGUCUUGCUGAAAUAAGCAGGGAAAUCCCCCCAAAAAAGACAUUGCUUGGAUGGCAGCAUAUGUUGCUCCGAAACCUGUAUGUACAUUUCAGCAUUUAAUGGUGCCUUCACAGAUGUGCAAGUUAUCUGCCAGUUGCCCAUCUCUGCCCUACACCAAAAUCAUUAUAUAAUUUAGGGACUCGUCCUAAGUUCUUUUCAGAAAUGAUUCGGAAAUCUCAUUAAUAUUUACAGAAAUUGUUUGAUUGUAGUGAAUGGCUCAAAUUGUUGAGCAAAGAAACAUAAAGCUGUUGAAGCAAUAAUUUUGUCCAGGCCAGUUUCAUUCUUUGUCAAACAGAAGGGUACCAACAAUUCUGUCCACAUCUGUGGCUGUUCUUCUCAAGGUGGUGUGAUGAGAUCCGAAGACCACAUGGUGAUUGCUGAAGGAAACUUGGAAACCUUAUGUGACUUGGCUAGCAGUGACAUGGGCCUGCCUGUGUCAUAGAAAAAGCCUGCUUCUCCUCCACACCGGCUUAUCAGCCAGUAUUCCGAAGACGAAGUAGAAGCAGAUGUGAUGAAGAUGACAUUCAGGCGAGAGGGAAGAACCACUGUGCGGUGCUGCGAUGACGGAGGACAUGUCUGACAAGGAGCACGUUGAUGUCAUUGCAACAGGAAGCGAAGGCCGCACCUCCUCAGCCACAAGUCAGCAUUCACGCAGACUGCCAGUGCAGACAUGAAUCGUGUGCUCGUGUGCGUGCUGACGGCUGCUUUGAGUCUCGGAAACGGUCAGCAAACGGUGCACCAGCCGGCGGGCAAUGUCUACGCUGUGGAGGGCGCAAGGGUGACGCUGGACUGCAGCUACGACAGCACACGGAGCGACGACUUUAUCUUCUGGUACAAACAGCAAGUGAACGCAGCACCCGAGUUUGUUCUGAGCAUCUCAAAGAUCGGUCAGGGCAAGACGGAGAAGAAGUACGCCGACAGGUUUCGCUCCAGCAUGGACGCCAGCGCCACGCAAGCUCCUCUGCAUAUCGAGAGCGUGAAGCUGAGCGACUCGGCACUCUACUACUGUGCCCUGCGGCCCACGCUGACACAUCCGCUGGCGUGCCUGCACAAAAACACCUGCACCCGUCUCGUGCCACGUCACAUUGGGGGUGUGGAGCGAACGGCUUGAUUUUGAAUGGUUGUUAACAAUUUUCUCUUUGGUGUGUUGAAUUUGAAAGAAAUAUUUUGUUUAUAUGUUGCCAAUAAAAGAAAUGAGAUCCA